GAGGAUAUGGGAUGAUGUGGGCAAGUGAGGCUCAGAAAACAGAACAGGAGGGGAGGGGAAGCCCCCAUCCCUGAGCACCUGCUGAGCCCGUGCCAACUGCUUUUUCUUAUCACCACUGAGAGAUGCAAGGCUGUUAUCCCCAGUUUUUAGAUGAGGAAACCAGGGCUGAGAAGGGCUAAGUAACUUGUCAAGUCCCCCUGAGUAAGAGAGCUAGAAUUUACACCCACACCUGUGUGUCUCCAAAGGCCACACAAGCUCUUCUUACUGUAGCUCUACUCAAACAUCGACUCCAUUCUGACCUUAAACUCUUGCUAUCCAACCAUCUCCUACCUCCCCUGGGCUAGAAUCAGACGUUACAAGUGCCUCCCUGAUCAUCAUUUCAGCCCUUCUGUGUGCCUCUAAGUUGGCGGUCACCCAGUGAGGCCGAGACCAAAGAGCUCUGUGAUAUAAAAGGCAUGUCCAUCAUGAGUGAUGGGCCGUAGCUCUGGGCCAGUUUCCUUCAGGCAGGACUCCUGUGCAGGAUCGCCAAGCAUAAUGAGAAUACCUAGCACCUUCCUGCUUACCUCAGAGAAGGAUUCCUCUCAAGAGACCUAGCAAAGCAAGUUCACAGCAGUCUGACAGGACAGAAUUACCCAGCACUGGCCUUCCCGUGAUAUUUCUUAAUGGUACCAGCCUUCCCUUAUCCAUAAUAGUACUUCUUCAGCUCACUGCUGGGUCUCCUAUUAAAGGGCAGUUUCUAGCCAGGUGCACUAAGUACACCCUUCUUAGAUCCUCAUCCCUUAAAUGCCUGGCUGGUGGCUCUUUCUGAUUUAUGGCUUUCCAAUCUACUUUAGAUCCAGACACAUUUGUUUAAGGGAUUAGUGUAAAUCCCUUAUUAGCCUGGCACGUGAUAUUAUCCUUCCGAUCCCUCGAUGCAGUUUCUCUAGGACCAGAGCACUCCAAUCCCCAAUCCUAUCUGGCUUCUAUGCCCUGCUCUACAAAGUUAGUCAUUAGUCUACUCAGAGGCUCCUUUUCUAAAGCAACUCAUGGCUUUAGGAUCUCCAGCCUAAAGAAGCACAAUCUCAAAAAAGACCCUUUCUCAUUUCUACUUAGCCACACCUCACCAACUCCCACGCUGCAAGGAGGGUGCUGUAUUACCCGACUUUUCCUUUUUAGCCCCUCUCUCCUAACUCCUGCUCUCCAGGGCUCACAACAAGAGGGGAUUUGGAAUCACUGACAAGUGUUAGCAGUAUCAGUGAAUUAAAACCAAUGUCACUCCCAGGUUUAGAAAAUACUUCAUAGGAAUGGUCAUUUCCCCCUUUGCAGAUAAAUUAGCCUGUAAUUCUCUCA